rnacentral:lncRNA from 1 species
ACAGGGAUACUCCUCCACUCUCUCGUACCAUGGGAAGUGUUACAAAGGACGUGUCUCCAAUCUUUAAGAUUACAUUUUACUCUCGUAUCUAGGGGAAGUAGUAUCUAUGACUGACUAAGUUCUAAUGAUGCCUGUCCUUCACACUCGAACCUAAGGUGUUUUAUUAAGGACAAUACAAAUGUUCUAUGAUUUCUAUCAGUAAAAGUGUGAACAAUCAAUUGUGAAGUAUAAAGUAUAACACUAUAUAAUAAGAAUUGAAAUAGGUUUGGAGAACAAUUCUAUAAGUUAAACCGUUUGUUAAUAUGUUUUCAAUUCUUAAAAGUGUACGGAUUAUGAAACUAUUUAAAUGAAAUGAUGAAUUUAAGUACAAGAUAUUCUUGUACUUUUGCUUGUAUUCCUCCCUGAAAACAUUGAAAAACCAUUGAAAAAGGGUAGGGGUAUGAACUCACCAGACGAGAAAACGUGUUGGUUCGGAUGCUAAGUGUCGGUUCGGGGCUUGAUAAUGCGCGAGGUUACUAUGUAAUAUAAAAUGAUAUACAAUUAUAUCUAAUUAGAUUUUAAAUCACUAAUUAGAUAUUAUUAUAUACUCCAAGACGCGAAAACACUUCAAAAUAAGUGUUUGGAGUGACCCGGGUGACAUUUAAGGACGUGAGGGACUAGGGAAAUGAGUUUACUCUUCAAGAGUAAACUCCUUAUGGAGUUUUCGGCCCUAAACACUCUAACCACACGAGUUCACGGCCGUGAACUCAUGGUUGAGAGUUUUUUGGUGCUAAAUGGCAUGAUAACACUUGGGAAAUUAGCUAGGAUUUAGUCUAGGGCCUUGGAAUGGGUUGAAUUUACUUAAGGACCAUUUAUUGGAGUUUACGGCAGUAAACAUGGAUUUUACGGCCGUAAACUCCCCCACGCUCAAUUCUUAAUUUAUUUGAUGAUGCUAGGACAAUCACAUGUGAUUCCAACAAUUUUUACAAGCCUUAGAAUGAGUUUAGGGCACCAUUUAACAUGUUUUUAUGAGUUUACGACCCUGGAACUAUUUCUUGGGGAGUUAUGGCCAUAAACACCCAAAUGGAAGGAUUUCAUCAUGUUUAAGGCCCCUAAAUUGAUUAUGGUUGGUUCUAGAAUUUAUUCCAAGGCUAAUGGUGUGUUUACAUGGCUUUUAAACACUUGUUUUUGAGUUUACUACCCAUGAAUUAUGAGUUUACGGCCCAAGCAUGUUCUUGGGUAGUAAACUCAUGUUUGCUCCUCAAAAUUCAUUUUUAGGCUGUUCUAAGUCCAGAAUGGUAAGCCAUAUAGUCGUAUCUAAGUCCCAAAAUUGAUUUGGAGGGGUUUUAAGGCUUGAAAACCCACUUUUUAUGUGUUUACGGCUCAUGCAUGCUCCAGGGCCGUAAACUCUUGUUUGAGGUCCUAAAUCAUUGAUUAAACUCGGAUUUGAAGGUCAAUGAGGUUGAACAACAAGUUAGGGAAGUUACCUUGAAGAUUUGAAGCCUUAAAUUGAAGUUUUGGACCUAGUUCUUUGGUUUGAGGAGAGAGGUUAGAGAGAGAGUAGUGAGAGAGGUAAAAAGCUUCAAAUGGAAGCUUAAACAUCUUUAAAUAGUGUCUAAGAUUUGGACACGGUGGAAUUCUACCCGAUACCGACGUUAGACGUGGCUUUUGGUCACACCCGAUAAAGUUGCCAUAACCCGAUAUGGUUGAUUCUAAAAAUUUUCCAAUUACUAGAAUGGGGUGCUAUAAUGAGUUCUAAACGCGUUGAGACACCCAUUAAGUCAUAAUAAUAAUUUUAAAUUAAUGACUUAAUUUAAUUACUACAUCGGAAAUGAAUUUCUAAAAAUGGGUCUUACAGACGAAUUGGGUUUCGGCGAUGGAUAACUUCGGGUUGUCAUAUUAUCCCUCCGUUAGAGGGAAUUUCGUCCCGAAAUUCAAAGAUUUAGGUACAGAUCAUGAAGUGAAAAGAAAGAUGAGAAUGAAUCCAUUGCUUCUGGUCUUCACGCUCCUAAGUGGAAUCUGGUCUCCGCUUAACAUUCUAGCGAACCCUCACUACCGGGAUGUGACUUUGUUUCGUACGAUCAACCUCUCAAUCCAUGAUCUCAAUUGAUUCUUCCAUGGAGGUUCGGGUUUCCAUUGAUUUCGAUCUCAUGAAAGGGAUUACUAGGGUUUCAUCGAGUCGGCACUCCUUAUGAACAAAGAUAUGGAAUACCAGAUGGUUGCUGUUGAGUUCUGAAGAUAGCUCGGAGAGGGCUACGGGAUCGAUUCCUAACGAGGAUCUCGAAGGGUCUAAUGUACCACGAGUUAAGUUUUCUGCACUUCCCAAAGCGUAGGAUGUCUCUCCAGAUUAAGACUUCCAACAAGAGGGUACAUCUUCAUAUGGCAGAGUGGGUCUGCAAUAUUAGCCGGCGGGACCCAAGAAUUGACGGGUUUUCUAUGGGUAUCUCCGGUGCUGACUAAAUCUCUAUCGCCAUAGUUUUUGGAAAGGUCCACGGGUAUGACUGCUUUGCUUAUCUACAUGACUAAGGAAAAUGAUUUGACCGAAGGGCACCACUAUUAACUCGUAGUGAUCAUAUCAAGUCCUGGUUGCUGUCUUGGACACAUCAUUCUCACUGAGGUUUUUGGCUACGAGGUAAUUCUAGGGAUUAGAUCGAUGAGAAAUUCAAUUUGAUGUUCGGAAAGAAUUCUCGAAAGCUAUAUAGGGAAUACAUCAGGAUAGUCACAGACUUAGGGGACGUUCUUGAAGUUUUUAACUUUCUUUUUCUCACAGAUUACAUAGGCUAGGAAUGUAUGACACUCCUUUCGAGGAAAACUCUUGAGUUUUGAUGCAUAAACUGAUACGUAGGUUGGAACCGAAUUCAUUACCGUAGAUCAUGAGGGUCUGAUUAGAGAAAAGAUUGAGACGGAUGGAUUUUUCAAUGCAAGGGUAUCAGCACGAUUGGGACUCAACCAGUCCAAGCCACAUUAAACAUCAAAACUAUUUAUGGAAUUGGACAUAAGAUCAAUCGGUAAAGGAUGGUCGUUCAGAGUAAGGGUACAACCUAUUAAUGUAUUGAUAAAGUUUUCUUUCCCCACUGUUAUCCGUCUCGAUGGUGAAUGUUUCAAUUACUAGUGGAGGGCUAAGAUUAAGAUGUCUAGAUGAAUAGAUAAUUGAUUUUUCUUUUAUCACAAGAAUCGAAAAGGAUUGCAGGCGUAAGAGUUGUUGAGGAAGAAUAUACCUGGGGCGACGGUGGGGUUGGUGGCUGUCUCCUCUCGUCCUAUCGCUAGGACUCUUCCGGUGUUGCCAAAUGUUACUGCCUUAGGACAGUUUCACUUGUAGUGUCCGACUUCUCCGCAACCAUAGCAGGCCUGACCAAUGCCUGCUCCGGAAGCUUGACUGGUUGAUUGAGUUGGUGUCUUAGAGUUUUUCUCCAUGUGACCCUUUAUGCCACAACUGUUGGAAAAUACCUCUAUACAUCGGCUGGAAGUAAGGUGAUGAUAUUUGCACUUGUCAAAACUAGGGAGGGUUCCUGCAUACCUAAUGGUAGGUUUUCGAGCUGAGGAUCCAACAACAGAAACAGUUGCAGGGGUAGUAGCAGCGUCAACUGCCACAAGUUGCUGCCUCUUCGAAGACUCCUGUAAUGUCUGACUUUCCUUCUUCUUCCCAAUUUUCCUUUUCCCGCCACUCCUCUCUGUCGGNNNNNNNNNNNNNNNNNNNNNNNNNNNNNNNNNNNNNNNNNNNNNNNNNNNNNNNNNNNNNNNNNNNNNNNNNNNNNNNNNNNNNNNNNNNNNNNNNNNNNNNNNNNNNNNNNNNNNNNNNNNNNNNNNNNNNNNNNNNNNNNCCGGGGUAACAUUCCCGGGCAGAGUAGCGCCAAGUCAUCGAACCUGGAAGUGUAAGCGGCGAUAUCGGAACCCUUCAUCUUCAGGUUCCAGAGUUCGUGCUCUAAUUUCCGCAUUUCACCCUGUGGGCAGUACUCAGCCAGCAGAAGUUCCUUCAUAGCUUCCCAACCCAUGGCAUUGGCUAAAGGUAAGGUUAAGGAUUUGACUCGGCCAUUCCACCAAUUCAGGGCUUUAUCGAUGAAGGUGCAGCGGCAAACUUCACUUUGUCAGAUUCUGAGCAGGCAUAAAUUUCAAAGAUGGAUUCGAUCUUCUCGAACCAUCGGGUGAGGGAAAUGACACCUCCAGUGCCAUCAAAGGACGUGGGUUUUGCGUUCAUGAAAUCUUUAUAGGAACCCCUCUUUCGGUGUCCCUGAUUAUCUUCUGGGUUUUGGGGCUAGGGACCACCUCCUGAACUACCGGGGUUUCUUUGUGACAUGGCGGCUGUCACUGCGGCAGUAACAGCUGCCUGAAGCGUUACAAGAUCAAUUUGAGGAGGAGGUGGUGGCGGAGGGUUCUUGGUCUUUGAGCUGGGUCUCUUUCUUGGAGGCAUCUUAAUCUAAUAAGAUCAGGAAAGAGAGGAUCAUAAGUCCUCUGAAUUGAAUCAAGAGAUAUGGGAUAGGAGAUAUCUCAUUAAGACAAAUAUAUGGUAUUCUAUUAAGCGAUAAGCAGGAAAGAGUUAACAAAGCAAAUUAGUUAUCGCUAAGGGAAUGAUCGAGGAACAACGCUGAAAUCAGAAUUUCUAUAACGGGUUUGGCUUGAGAAAUACUCCCAUAGUAUUUCAUGAUUCGUCGCAGUGAUGGCUCGUUGUUUGGGUAUCGGGUAAGUUUUAGGCAUGCCGCAUACCACAGUCACUCCCAAGCACAUGUUGGCCGUGUCUCGAAUGAAUAUAGUUGGCCAGGCUAUAGCGAUCCUAGACACGACUAGAUAACUGCCCAGGUUUAACAGCAGUGUACCACACCCAUUUACUUAUUUUUUGUUCUACUUGUACUUACGGAUCUCGACGGUUAGGUAUACUUAUAUACUUUUUGAAAAUACUUAUAUUUUAAACUAUACUUUUAGUUUAGAGCACUUAGGCCCCUUAGUGUUUAUAGUCUUAUACCAUGUACGGUUUGGUAUACUAGUUCACUACAAACAAGGGCUCUGAUACCAAUCUAUCACACCCCGAAACCAAAGGCGGAAACGUUCCGGGGUGGAGGACGUCAUGAAUAUCGCAACCAAUGUAUAUAGUAAGCAUAGUAAACACAAAACUUUACAUUACAUAGAUUUAUUUACAUUGUCUGAAAACAAAGGAUUACAUGCGUUGAACAUAUACAUAACAUUUAAACAAAAGUAAAGACGUGUCUUCUACAUACUUCGCCUUCGCCAAAAGGAUCGCUAGGUACUUGUCUAAUAUUGACCUGAGAAUACAAGCAGUUUAAAAAUCAACAUAAAGUUGUUGAGUUCAUAAGCGGUUUUGUUGUCUGAAAUUAUACAAGUUCCUUUCUGUUUUCUGAAAAAUUUUCACACCAAGAAAAUCCCAUAUUUUCUUAAAAAUAAUGUUAUUGAAUCCAAAAUAUAAUGUAAAAGAUGUACUUUGAAAAACAUGAUUAUUCUUGUGAAUUGUAAAGUUUAGUUAUUUAAAUUGUUGCACGUUUCGGGUUUCGUACUACUGUUACCCCCGGAAAAUUCUAUAUUUUCCUAAAUGUGUGUGUGAAGUGUUAUCGAAUUUGAAAGUAAUGUACAAGUAUCUACCAUACUUAAAAUGUGUGUGUGGAGUCUCCUAAAAGUCUGAUUACCUUUAAAUGUACAUUAGUCUAAACACAUAUAUAAAACUAGUAAAUAUGUGUGAAGUGUUCAUAAUCUUCAUUGCAAGUCCUUAACCAUACUUCAGACUAGAUAUGACUCGAACCGAGGUCAGUAUCUUUUUAUGACUUUUUUCACCCUUGAACCUUGCGGUUCGGCUGUAGCUAACAGCCAGGUGCGGGAUAGUCAGUCUCGUAUAGAUCUAUACACUCAAGUCACGUUCUCCCUUCUGGAGAUUCUGGUUAUAGGGAUACUCCUCCACUCUCUCGUGCCAAGGGAAGUGUUACAAAGGACGUGUCUCUAAUCUUUAAGGUUACUCUUUACUCUCGUAUCUAGGGGAAGUAGUAUCUAUGACUGACUAAGUUCUAAUGAUGCCUGUCCUUCACACUCGAACCUAAGGUGUUUUGUUAAGGACAAUACAAAUGUUCUAUGAUUUCUAUCAGUAAAAGUGUG